rnacentral:misc_RNA from 2 species
CCCAACUAUCCCUAUUAAUCAUUACGUCAAUCCUAGAAACCAACAAAAUAAGAUCGAACGUCCUAUUUCAUUAUUCCAUGCUAAUGUAUUCAAGCGAUUGCCUGCUUUAAACACUCUAAUUUUUUCAAAGUAACAGUCCUGUUUCCCCGCAACACCAAAUUAAUGGCAUUACGGUUCUUCAAGAAGGAGGGACCACCGAAGCAAGUACAUACCGGAGGCACGACCAACCUGAUGAUCCCGAAAUUCAACUACGAGCUUUUUAACUGCAACAACUUUAAUAUACGCUAUUGGAGCUGGAAUUACCGCGGCUGCUGGCACCAGACUUGCCCUCCAA